GGGAGUCCUUGGUAGUUACUGACAUCUCAAAGGACUGCAGGGUUUGGUUUUCAAGUGGAAUCCCAUUUCGGUACCUAAGAACGGACUCCAUGGGGUGACAUUCAAAACUGCGGUGAUGUGCCUUCUGCUGAAAGUGCAAAAUAAAUGCAAUACAUUGAAGAGACAGAGCAGGAGACAGAUGCAAAUCUGUGGAACACGGAAUGAUGGAACAGAAUGAAGGUAACAGCAAACAAGAGGAUGACCAACAACUUUUAUAAAAAAAAAGUCUCUGAAUUUUAUUACAGUGAUGGCAUUUUAUAUCAAUUAUUGCAAUGAAUUGUUCCCUAAGAUGGUUAGAAAAAAGAAUUGUGUUGUCCUCUACCGAAUUUACAUCAGUUAAAAAGCAAGCAUGUUUCAAUAUUCCUCUUUUUUCAAAGAAAAUGUAAAUAAUUUCUUUAUUUUUUUUCACAGGAUUUACAUAUUUAUUAUUUUCUUAUCACAGUUUAGUGACUCAUUUCUACAGCUGAACAGCUGAAUAUUCUUCCAUUGUAUAUAUUGAUGUUCUGGAGACACAGUUCCAGAAUGCACGGCCUUCGGGCAGUCGGGAGUCAAUACGCGGCCAUUUUCACCCACACUCCCCGUGAUGGAUAAUCUGGCUUUGUUUCUUAUGGCUUCAGAAAAGCUCUGCGACUUUCUGGCCAUUGACAACAUGCUCAAGACAGAAGAACAGUAAAAACGGAUCUACCAAAAAAAAAAAAAAGGCAAAUGAGAAAAACAAUUUCUCAGCAGCCUUCCAUGGAACAACAGAAAAAGCUGCAGUAAGGCAACUCCUCUCUUCUCAUGGCACAAAGUAACAACAAUUCAGCAGCACACUGCAAGAAACAACUGAGACAGUCGACAAAGCCAGCAGGAGCAGGUCAAACUUGUACUCAGUAAGGUGCCAUAAAGCAAACUAACCAGAUAUGGAUCUGUGUUUAAUUUCAAACUAAGCUGUGGAUAAUGAGCCAGGCUAAUACUGUGCUUGAUUGUGCCGUUACAAUUUCAGAUUUAUGGCCUGGCUUUAAAAACGGUUUCAGGAGAGACUGGGAUAAGAAGGAAAACUCUUGGUAUUUGCUGUGAAUGUUACCCAAGUUAUGGAAGUCUGUGCAGUAAGUGUACGCAGUUAGUAGUGUUAGUUUUCACACUCAGCAGUAGUUAGUUUUCAUAUUAACGUCAUUAGUUUUGAUUAAACUGGUUGUUAAUCAUGUGAAUAUUGACUGUCCUGCUCCUAGUGGGAAAUGGGAAUUCAGGAAGCUGAUCUCCUCAGUCUAUGUAAUGCAAGUACCCAGUUGCUGGGUUCCUUUGUUGUUUAGACAUCUCUAGUGCCUGGGUCACCUGGGAAUGUCUUUGGCACAGAUACUGAAGAUGAACUUUCAAAUACUUUUUCUAUAUGGAAUAUGAAAUUGGAAGUAUAUGAGUCAAGAUAAGUAUAUUAAAGAUUUGCUGAGCCAUCCUUUAGAAUUUGGCCUUGUUAGCCACUCAUUUUGUAAUUUCAUAUAAUUAUAUAUAUGUAUGUAUAUUUGUAAAUUUUGUUGUUAAUUUUGUCAGUUAUAACCAGCACAAGGUGGGAGAGCAAGUGAAGGCAGUGGAGCUGGGAGCUGGCUGGUGAGUCUCAUGGCCCACUGAGGACCAUGGCCAUGGUGGUAGCUGGGAAGGUGCCCCUGGGACAACCCCUUCAUCACUCAUGGGUGUGAUGGGAGGAACCCAGUAGUGGUUUUCUCUAGAGCAGCUGAAAAGAAGGGUGUUUGCUCCGCAUUGCUUCCAGGCUAUCAGA